rnacentral:rRNA from 1 species
GAUGAACGCUAGCUACAGGCUUAACACAUGCAAGUCGAGGGGCAGCAGGAUCUAGCAAUAGAUUGCUGGCGACCGGCGCACGGGUGAGUAACACGUAUCCAACCUGCCGAUAACUCGGGGAUAGCCUUUCGAAAGAAAGAUUAAUACCCGAUGGUAUAAUCAGACCGCAUGGUUUGAUUAUUAAAGAAUUUCGGUUAUCGAUGGGGAUGCGUUCCAUUAGGCAGUUGGUGAGGUAACGGCUCACCAAACCUUCGAUGGAUAGGGGUUCUGAGAGGAAGGUCCCCCACAUUGGAACUGAGACACGGUCCAAACUCCUACGGGAGGCAGCAGUGAGGAAUAUUGGUCAAUGGACGCGAGUCUGAACCAGCCAAGUAGCGUGAAGGAUGACUGCCCUAUGGGUUGUAAACUUCUUUUAUGUGGGAAUAAAGUUUUCCACGUGUGGAAUUUUGUAUGUACCAUAUGAAUAAGGAUCGGCUAACUCCGUGCCAGCAGCCGCGGUAAUACGGAGGAUCCGAGCGUUAUCCGGAUUUAUUGGGUUUAAAGGGAGCGUAGGUGGACAGUUAAGUCAGUUGUGAAAGUUUGCGGCUCAACCGUAAAAUUGCAGUUGAUACUGGCUGUCUUGAGUACAGUAGAGGUGGGCGGAAUUCGUGGUGUAGCGGUGAAAUGCUUAGAUAUCACGAAGAACUCCGAUUGCGAAGGCAGCUCACUGGACUGCAACUGACACUGAUGCUCGAAAGUGUGGGUAUCAAACAGGAUUAGAUACCCUGGUAGUCCACACAGUAAACGAUGAAUACUCGCUGUUUGCGAUAUACAGUAAGCGGCCAAGCGAAAGCAUUAAGUAUUCCACCUGGGGAGUACGCCGGCAACGGUGAAACUCAAAGGAAUUGACGGGGGCCCGCACAAGCGGAGGAACAUGUGGUUUAAUUCGAUGAUACGCGAGGAACCUUACCCGGGCUUAAAUUGCAUUUGAAUAAUCUGGAAACAGGUUAGCCGCAAGGCAAAUGUGAAGGUGCUGCAUGGUUGUCGUCAGCUCGUGCCGUGAGGUGUCGGCUUAAGUGCCAUAACGAGCGCAACCCUUAUCUUUAGUUACUAACAGGUCAUGCUGAGGACUCUAGAGAGACUGCCGUCGUAAGAUGUGAGGAAGGUGGGGAUGACGUCAAAUCAGCACGGCCCUUACGUCCGGGGCUACACACGUGUUACAAUGGGGGGUACAGAAGGCAGCUACCUGGUGACAGGAUGCUAAUCCCAAAAGCCUCUCUCAGUUCGGAUCGAAGUCUGCAACCCGACUUCGUGAAGCUGGAUUCGCUAGUAAUCGCGCAUCAGCCAUGGCGCGGUGAAUACGUUCCCGGGCCU